UACGGGGGGAGCAAGCGUUGUUCGGAUUUACUGGGCGUAAAGGGCGCGUAGGCGGCCACCGCAAGUCGACUGUGAAAUCUCCGGGCUUAACCUGGGAACUGCGUCGGAUACUGGAUGGCUUGAAUUCGGGAGAGGGAUGCAGAAUUCCAGGUGUAGCGGUGAAAUGCGUAGAUAUCUGGAGGAAUACCGGUGGCGAAGGCGGCAUCCUGGACCGACAUUGACGCUGAUGAGCGAAAGCUAGGGGAGCAAACGGG
rnacentral:rRNA from 1 species